rnacentral:rRNA from 1 species
UACGUAGGGUGCGAGCGUUGUCCGGAAUUAUUGGGCGUAAAGAGCUUGUAGGCGGUCUGUCGCGUCUGCUGUGAAAAUCCGGGGCUCAACCCCGGACUUGCAGUGGGUACGGGCAGACUAGAGUGUGGUAGGGGAGACUGGAAUUCCUGGUGUAGCGGUGAAAUGCGCAGAUAUCAGGAGGAACACCAAUGGCGAAGGCAGAUCUCUGGGCCGUAACUGACGCUGAGGAGCGAAAGCCAGGGGAGCAAACGGG